ACCUGCCGAAUGAAUUAGCCCUGAAAAUGGAUGGCGCUGAAGCGGGUGGCCGACACCACGCCGUGUGACCGAGCUUUGUGUCACAUGAGUAGGAGGGCGUGGCGGGCGUGGAGAAGCAUGGGCGCGAGCCUGCGUGGAACGGUCCGCUAGUGCAGAUCUUGGUGGUAGUAGCAAGUAUUCAAGCGAGAACCUUGAAGGGCGAAGCGGGGAAGGGUUCCACGCGAACAUUGAUUGGGCGUGGGUGAGUCGUUCCUAAGCCGAGUGGCAAUUGCUAAGUAGCGGCGAAAGGGAAGCGGGUUGAAAUUCCCGCACACGGAUGUGGAGAGCGGUGACGCAAAAUGAGGCGAACACGCUGGCGACGGCGCUGGGCAGAGUUGUCUUUUCUGUUUGACCGAGUGUGCGGGCUGUGUGGAAUCCGCUUGUCGGGAGAAACACGCUUGCACGGGCAGAGCGCCGGGGCUUUUCCGGCGUCCAGCUCGCCGUCGACGGCCCUUGAAACUUUGCCUGCUGAAUAAAUCCACGCCGUGGCGUACCGAUCACCGCAUCAGGUCCCCGAGGUGAACAGCCUCUGCUCGAUAUGAACAAUGCAGGUAAGGGAAGUCGGCAAAUUGGACCCGUAACUUUGGGAAAAGGGUUGGCUCUAGUGCUGCGUGGGAGAGGUUGUCUGUGUGUGGGGGCGGAGGGUGGGCCGGCUUGGCGCGGUAGCCUCGCAAGGGGAUUACUGUUCUGGGCUGCUCGCUCACUGUUUCCGCCGCGGACGACGCCCACGGCAUGCAGCAGACUAGAACUGCAACGGGCAAAGGGAAUCCGACUGUUUAAUUAAAACAAAGCAUUGAGAAGG
rnacentral:rRNA from 1 species